rnacentral:lncRNA from 1 species
AGCCAGAGCUUGGGAUCCCUUUCUGCUGUUCAACGUCCUCCACCUCUGCCCCCCUCUCCCCCAAGCCGGUGACAGGCUGUUGCCCUGUGAUCUGCAGGUCCUGGGACGUGCACAGCUAAGAUGCCAGGACAUUCUAGAAGGUGGGAAAGGCAUCUGAGUGAUUUGACUCUCCUGCCUGGACCCAGUGUACAGAUGGGAUUGUGCUUUAUUGCUGGACCCAGCAUUUAGGCCCACUACCUCUGGGAUUGCAUGCUCCUGCCUGGGCUGUGCCCACAGUGACCUUGUGACAUAUAUGUGCAUCCAUGACCUAAAAGAUGUGACACUUCUUGCCUGCAACCUGCCCUGCACAGGAAAGAUUGUGACUUCUCCCUGGAACCAGAUACCAGGAGAUAAUUGUAACAUAUCCCUGGCUGAGCACCCAGGUGAUGUGAUACUCCUGCUUGGUUCUUUCCCUCCGGGAAGAUUGUGAGAUACCCUUGGC